CAAAAACGGUGUGAGAGUCCGAAUGAAUGCUGUCGAAGCUCCAAGAGGCGAUACAAAAUUUCACUUUGGCAAAGUGACUGCAGAAGAUUCUGGAUUGUACACAUGCCUUUACUCUGAAAAGAAACUUGGUGUCAGUAAGACCACUGCAACAGGACACAACUCCGUCUCACUCCAGGUUUUGGGCAAAAUAUUACCGGCAAAGAUUAAAAGAACAGAAAUGACACUGACCUGCACCUUUACAAAAAUUCAAAGCUGUACUCAAGUCUACGUCUAUCUCUGUUUCAACGGGAUCGGAAACAGAAAGAAGCAGGUGAACUGUAGCGAUAUGACCACUUCCACAACGUUUCUCCUUAGUAACGUUUCAGAAAAGAGCUCUGGCAACUACAGCUGUGUGUAUUCAGUGUCUAACUACAAUCUCAGUGAGGUGAACAAUACAGGAGAAAACACCAUCUUUGUUCACAUCCAUGAAAAAGACGACGUUGAUGCUGUGAGUGUAAUAAUUAGUGUUUCGGUUGCUGCAAUAGUGGUUCUGUUGGUUCUGUUGGUUCUGUUGAGAUUCUGCUGGUACCGCGAUAUUAUUUCAUUCAGGGCGUGCCAAGAUCCUGCUUUAAGAAACCCUCCAAACAUUGAGCCUUUCUACUAUGAGAUCAC
ensembl:lncRNA